rnacentral:misc_RNA from 1 species
GAUGAAGAACGUAGCAAAAGGCGAUAAGUAAUGUGAAUUGCAGAAUUCAGUGAAUCAUCGAAUCUUUGAACGCACAUUGCGCCCGCUGGUAUUCCGGCGGGCAUGCCUGUUCGAGCGUCAUUUCAACCCUCAAGCCCCCGGGUUUGGUGUUGGGGAUCGGCUCUGCCUUACGGCGGUGCCGCCCCCGAAAUACAUUGGCGGUCUCGCUGCAGCCUCCAUUGCGUAGUAGCUAACACCUCGCAACUGGAACGCGGCGCGGCCAUGCCGUAAAACCCCAACUUCUGAAUGUUGACCUCGGAUCAGGUAGGAAUACCCGCUGAACUUAAGCAUAUCAAUAAGCGGAGGA